rnacentral:tRNA from 1 species
GCCCAGGUGGCGAAACGGCAGACGCGCUAGCUUGAGGGGCUAGUGCCCGAUAAGGGCGUGGAGGUUCAAGUCCUCUCCUGGGCA